GUAACUAUGAAAAGUAACUAGAAACGCCCCAUGGGAAGGAAGAUGGCGGACUGAUCGAAGUUAUGUAGAGCACCUCAAGAUAAAAACAUAAUAUUCAAUAUCGGUAAAGUUAGAAUAAAAUAUUAGCACUUCACAAUCUGGUGGGUGAUAACCUUUAAUCUGGAUAAUAACACUAAACAAAUCUUAAGACUAGAGACAUUUAUCUACAAAUAUUACAAAAACAAGCAACACCCAAACAUGACGGAGGGUAAGACAGGGGAACCCAUCUCAACAUGACGGAGGGUAAGACAGGGGAACCCGUCUCAACAUGACGGAGGGUAAGACAGGGGAACCCAUCUCAACACGACGGAGGGUAAGACAGGGGAACCCAUCUCAACAUGACGGGGGGUAAGACAGGGGAACCCAUCUCAACAUGACGGGGGGUAAGACAGGGGAACCCAUCUCAACAUGACGGAGAGUCAGACAGGGGAACCCGUCUCAACAUGACGGAGGGUAAGACAGGGGAACCCAUCUCAACAUGACGGAGGGUAAGACAGGGGAACCCAUCUCAACAUGACGGAGGGUAAGACAGGGGAACCCAUCUCAACAUGACGGGGAGUCAGACAGGGGAACCCAUCUCAACAUGACGGAGGGUAAGACAGGGGAACCCAUCUCAACAUGACGGAGGGUAAGACAGGGGAACCCAUCUCAACAUGACGGAGAGUAAGACAGGGGAACCCAUCUCAACAUGACGGAGGGUAAGACAGGGGAACCCGUCUCAACAUGACGGAGGGUAAGACAGGGGAACCCAUCUCAACAUGACGGAGGGUAAGACAGGGGAACCCAUCUCAACAUGACGGAGGGUAAGACAGGGGAACCCAUCUCAACAUGACGGGAACAGGGGAACCCAUCUCAACAUGACGGAGGGUAAGACAGGGGAACCCAUCUCAACAUGACGGAGAGUAAGACAGGGGAACCCGUCUCAACAUGACGGAGGGUAAGACAGGGGAACCCGUCUCAACAUGACGGAGAGUAAGACAGGGGAACCCAUCUCAACACGACGGAGGUAAGACAAGGGGAACCCAUCUCAACAUGACGGAGAGUCAGACAGGGGAACCGAUUUCAAAACGAAAACGUGACUCUUCUACAGACACAGACGAUUUAAUAUUUUCACCAGCGGGAAUGGUAAAGGUCGAAACCGAUCUGUUAAAAUCAAUAAAUGACAAACUGGGUACACUUGAAUUAGUUAGUAAGGAUAUAAAAGAGUUGAAGGCAAGCCUCGAGAUGAGUGAUGAAAAAGCUGCGACAUUGGAGAAGGAAACACACAAGCUAAAAGGGACAGUGAAUAAGAUUGAAACCGAAGUGAAUGACUUUAAAAAGGAGAACACCGUUCUGAGAGAAGCCUUACUGGACAUACAGACUAGAUCCAUGAGAGAGAAUCUGGUCCUAACAGGUAUCCAGGAGAAAGAAGGGGACGUUCCUGAAUCUGUAGUUAGAGAGUUCCUCCUUACAGCGCUUCAAAUCCCACGCGAAGCUAUCGACAAAAUCCAACUCGAACGUGUACACCGCUUCGGACAGAGAGGCCAAAGGUAUGAACACCCAAUCGUUGCCAAAUUUGCUUAAUUUAAAGAUAAAAUAAUGGUUAAAAGCCUGGGUAAAAGACUUGCUGGGACCAAAAUUGGCAUGAAUGACCAGUUCUUGAAGGAAAUUGCAGAACGGCGUAAAGUUCUGUAUCCAAUUUUCAAAGAAAAUAGAUUAAAAGGGAAACGAGUAGCUCUCGUCGUCGAUAAACUAUAUAUUGAUAACCAGUUGUUCAGAGACACAAAGACUACUCCACGGCUAUUUAAACAAUUACAAAGUUC
rnacentral:lncRNA from 1 species